ACGAAGCCCAUGCUAGGGGCCCUGAGGAAGGGUCUGGAAAAGGGGGAGGGGGAGUGAGUGUGCGACCCCCAAACAAAGAAGGGGGG
rfam:Tursiops truncatus cont1.180213, whole genome shotgun sequence.